AGAUUGAACGCUGGCGCGGGAUGCUUUUUUUGGCACAUGCAAGUCGAACGGCAGCACGGACUUCGGUCUGGUGGCGAGCGGCGAACGGGUGAGUAAUGCAUCGGAACGUGCCUAGUAGCGGGGGAUAACUACGCGAAAGCGUAGCUAAUACCGCAUACGCCCUUCGGGGAAAGCGGGGGACCUUCGGGCCUCGCGACCAUUAGGAGCGGUCGAUAUCGGAUUAGCUAGUUGGUGGGGUAACGCCCGGGCUAAGGCGACGAUCCGUAGCUGGUUUGAGAGGACGACCAGCCUGCUGAUUCGGGACUGAGACACGGCCUAGACUCCUACGGGAGGCAGCAGUGGGGAAUUUUGGACAAUGGGGGGAAACUCCCGAUCCAGCCAUCCCGCGUGUGCGAUGAAGGCCUUCGGGUUGUAAAGCACUUUUGGCAGGAAAGAAACGGCAUCGAUAAUACCCCGUGCAACUGACGGUACCUGCAGAAUAAUCGGCUAACUACGUGCCAGCAGCCGCGGUAAUACGUAGGGUGCAAGCGUUAAUCGGACUACUGGCGUAAAGCGUGCGCAGGCGGUUCGGAAAGAAAGAGAUGUGAAAUCCCAGAGCUAACUUUGGAACUGCAUUUUUAACUACCGAGCUAGAGUGUGUCAGAGGGAGGCGGAAUUCCGCGUGUAGCAGUGAAAUGCGUAGAUAUGCGGAGGAACACCCGAUGGCGAAGGCAGCCUUGGAUAACACUGACGUCAAGCACGAAAGCGUGGGGAGCAAACAGGAUGAUAACGUAUAGUCUACGCCCCAAACGAUAAUCUUAGGCUUAAGCAAAUUUCUGGCCUUGGUAUGCAGCUGGAUCAAAGUGAAAGACCGCCUGGGAGUACGGUCGCAAGAUUAAAACUCAAAGGAAUUGACGGGACCCGCACAAGCGGUGGAUGAUGUGGAUUAAUUGACGCACGCGAACCCUACCUACCCUUGACAUGUCUGGAAUCCCGAAGAGAUUUGGGGAGUGCCUGCAAGAGAACCGGAACACAGGUGCUGCAUGGCUGCCGUCAGCUCGCCGUGAGAUGUUGCCAAGUCCCGAACGAGCUGCAACCUUGUCAUUAGUUUGCUACGAAAGGGCACUCUAAUGAGACUGCCGGUGACAAACUGAGGAAGUAGGAUGACGUUUGAGUCUCAUGGCCCUUAUGGGUAGGGCUUCACACGCUGCAGCAAUGAUGGGACAGAGGUCGCCAACUCCUACAGGGGAGCCAACCCCAGAAACCGAUCGUAGUCCGAUCGAAGCCUGCAACUCGACGCGCAGGUCGGACCUGCUAGCAUCGCGGAUCAGCAGGUUGUGGGUGAAUACGUUCCUUGGCCUCGUACACACUGCCUGCCGUCACCGCAUGGGAGUGGGUUUUGCCAGAGAUAGUUAGGUCAAAACCGUAAGGAGGCGAUUACCGUAGGAUUCAUGACUGGGGUGAAGUCGUAACAGGUA
rnacentral:rRNA from 1 species